UACCCUUGACAUGUCCUGGAGCCCGGUGAAAGCCGGGUGUGCCCGAAAGGGAACGGGAACACAGGUGCUGCAUGGCUGUCGUCAGCUCGUGUCGUGAGAUGUUGGGUUAAGUCCCGCAACGAGCGCAACCCUUGUCAUUAGUUGCUACAUUCAGUUGGGCACUCUAAUGAGACUGCCGGUGACAAACCGGAGGAAGGUGGGGAUGACGUCGUAUCUCACUG
rnacentral:misc_RNA from 1 species